rnacentral:rRNA from 1 species
AACGUUGGCGGCGUGGAUUAGGCAUGCAAGUCGUACGAAUAUCAUCUGGGUAACUGGAUGGUGGAAGUGGCGAAAGGGGCAGUAAUACAUGGGUAACCUACCCUGGGGCCUGGGAUAGCUGUUCUAACGGACAGGUAAUACCAGGUAAGCCGGUUGUGUCGCAUGACACGAUCGGGAGAGGGCAACCGCCCUAGGAGGGGCCCAUGCGAUAUUAGCUAGUUGGCGGGGUAAUGGCCCACCAAGGCGAUGAUGUCUAGCGGGUGUGAGAGCACGACCCGCGCCAUUGGCACUGAGACACUGGCCAGACUCCUACGGGAGGCUGCAGUCGAGAAUCUUCGGCAAUGGACGAAAGCCUGACCGAGCGACGCCGCGUGUGCGAUGAAGGCCCUUCGGGUUGUAAAGCACUGUCGAGAGGAAACAAGCCGCAAGGUUGAGUGACCUCUGGAGGAAGCACGGGCUAAGUUCCGUGCC